CAGCAACUUAAUAUUACAUGCAAGGUUUAUAUCCUCAGCGAAAGCAACUAUAUAUAUUAUGGGUUAAGUAUGUAAUAUUAGACCCGAAAGGGAGUGAUCUAGUCAUGAACAGGUGAAAAAAGACCGAACAAAUGUACGUUGCAUUGUACUUUGAUGAUUUGUGAUUAGUUGUGAAAUGCUAAUCUUACUCCCUAAUAGCUGGUUCUCUGCGAAAUGCAUUGCAGUGCAGCGUUAAUAAGUUAUAUAUAAUUGGUACAGCACUGACUAAGAUAUUGUGCAUAAAUUAAAUAGACCAGGGGAAUGUGAAAAUUCUAUCUGACUUAGUUAACCUCGGAAUGAUUAUAUACGCAAUAUUAGCAGUGAGUCGUAAGGUGAUAAGGUCUCACGACAAAAGGGAAACAGCCCAAAGAAUGUGUUAAAGUCCCUAAAAUAUUGUUUUAUUUACCUCUUUGCAUUUUUAACUGAUAAAAAAGGGAAAAAUGAAGGGAAUGAAUAAACCAGUCCUCUUUGCUUUAAUAGGCAACUAUGGCCGGACAAGUGAAAUUAAGGUAGUUUUUCGUUGGGGGAACCCCAACGCGACCUAAUACAGCCAUGAUGUGGGAUUGGAAGCGUCCAUCAUUUAUAGAAAGCGUAACAGCUCAGUGGUCUAGGUUAAAUGCGCCGAAGAUAUAUCGGGUCUAAUCAAUAUACUAAUACCAUUCUUAUCAUGCGCCUUUUUCCUCAAAGAUGAAAAGCAGCUUUUUUUUUCUAGUUUUUGUCUAGACAAGAGAAAAAGGCAAUAUGAUCAAGGUAGCAGAGCGUCUAGUACUGAUAAAGAGUAGUAUUUUAUUACUUGGAGGUAACUAGAGUGAGGAUGCUG
rnacentral:ncRNA from 1 species